CAGGCGUUCAGCGCCAUGGGAUCUGCAAACGGAAUGUACUUGGGAGCUUCAUUUCUCGUUAUCAUCGAGGUGUUUGAAAUCCUGCUUGCCGGUUGCUCACGUAGUCAAGCGCACGCUUAGUCGGUUGUUGUGCACAGUGUGUCGAGUGGCAGUUCCGCGGUGCUCUUUGAGCCUUGCAAACUCAACAACGUGUGCCCACCACUGAGCAAUGCAAAAAAAAGGAGUAUAGGUCAUGGAAGAAGAAUCAUCAGAACAAGUUCACUAAAUGCAUCUAUAAUGUUAUCUAUGAGAUACCUCUAUUUUGCGGCAGGUCCUACAUAGGUCAAACUGGCCGCUGUUUCAAUGAGUGUGCAGAGGAACACGAACGAUCCAUGCGCACGGGCACGGGCAGUAAUAUCACCAUUGCACUGCAAGAGAUGCGAUAGCAAAAUCUGUUUGCCGUAUCUGCAAGAAACCAAAUUCCUUUCAAAGGCAAAAUAAAAAAAAAAAACAGAAAGAGAAGUUACUGAGGCAUUCCAUAUCGCUAAAAGGGGUGACAACUGCAUCAGUUCACCUUCUAUAUCACUAUCAACGAAGGAAUUUGAAUUCUCAGAUGGGCAUAUGAAGACUUUCCUAUGCUCUUAGAGCACACGUGGCAUUGCUAUUUUUCAUCACUGCGUCGUGCGCAAUUUCUUCGCUGUUGUUUGUUCCUUGUUUAUCUAUAUUGUAGAACUUCACAAAUUUUCUGCCUUCACAAAAUAAAGUCAGUUGAAUGUCUG